rnacentral:rRNA from 1 species
UACGGAGGGGGCUAGCGUUGUUCGGAAUUACUGGGCGUAAAGCGUGCGCAGGCGGUUUUGUAAGCCAGAUGUGAAAUCCCCGGGCUCAACCUGGGAAUGGCAUUUGGGACUGCAAGGCUGGAGUGCGGCAGAGGAGACUGGAAUUCCUGGUGUAGCAGUGAAAUGCGUAGAUAUCAGGAGGAAUACCGAUGGCGAAGGCAGGUCUCUGGGCUGACACUGACGCUCAUGCACGAAAGCGUGGGGAGCAAACAGG